CUUUGAAGUACCAUUAUUACCCAUCCUGUCUUAUUCAUCAUGCUGUGUUCCUUGGUCGGCCUGUAAAAAAAACAUUCAAAUGAUAUUCUAUGUCAUCUUCCAUCCUGCAAUAAACACGAUCCUGUUCUAAAGGCUCUUCCCUUCCUGUGGUACCGGACCCAAACGUUUGUUAUUUUUUGUUCCUCUCUCUCUGUGCGAAAACUAUUCCGCUUAGAGCAAAUCCAUGUUUUGACAUGCAACUAAAUCACUCCGGAAUGCGGCAAAAAGCAGUAACAAAACCUAACCGAAAACUUAGGACCGAUAAAACAGGCAACGAUUUCCUCUUUGAGGGUACCCAACUGCGGUAAGGAGAUAAGGCCGGCCAGGUAAUGUUCAAGAAAUCAUUCGUUAAGAAGAGGAGCAAAAAAACAUCCAACAGGUAGAGGAGUUCUCCAUGACCCAAUGGCCCGACGCAUGAAAGACGCGAACAAUGGCCUACUCUGGAAUUACUUUAUUGUCCGCUUUUUGGAGGUUGUGUUAUGUGUGUGCGUCUCUUUCUUUAUCUCUCAGAUGAUUUCGGAAGGCUGUGUGCUUCCCCGAACCAGCUCAUCUUCUUUUCGAGAACUCCACUCUGAAGUCA